rnacentral:rRNA from 1 species
UACGGAGGGUGCGAGCGUUGUCCGGAAUCAUUGGGCGUAAAGGGCGCGUAGGUGGCGCGGUCAGUUCGUGGUGAAAGCGCGGGGCUCAACCCCGCGUCGGCCAUGAAUACUGCUGGGCUGGAGCACUGUAGAGGCAGGCGGAAUUCCGGGUGUAGCGGUGGAAUGCGUAGAGAUCCGGAAGAACACCGGUGGCGAAGGCGGUCUGCUGGGCAGUUGCUGACACUGAGGCGCGACAGCGUGGGGAGCAAACAGG